rnacentral:lncRNA from 1 species
UCGGGUGCAUGACAAAUCUGGGGUUUAAUCUGCUGCAGAUCCCGGGGUUGACGAGGCUUAACCUGUCGCGGACCGGGGAGACAGGUCGGGCGCCGUGACGAAGCACUCUCGGCAAUAGAAGAUCUGCAACAGGCUAUUCUCGCUGUCCCUUGGUAGUGAGAUCUAAACCACUUUGUGUUCUUUGUGAAUUUUGUAGAAAUGGAGCUAGACAUGUUAUAAUAUGCAA